rnacentral:rRNA from 1 species
GACGAACGCUGGCGGCGUGCUUAACACAUGCAAGUCGAACGGAAAGGCCCUGCUUUUGUGGGGUGCUCGAGUGGCGAACGGGUGAGUAACACGUGAGUAACCUGCCCUUGACUUUGGGAUAACUUCAGGAAACUGGGGCUAAUACCGGAUAGGAGCUCCUGCUGCAUGGUGGGGGGUGGGAAAGUUUCGGCGGUUGGGGAUGGACUCGCGGCUUAUCAGCUUGUUGGUGGGGUAGUGGCUUACCAAGGCUUUGACGGGUAGCCGGCCUGAGAGGGUGACCGGCCACAUUGGGACUGAGAUACGGCCCAGACUCCUACGGGAGGCAGCAGUGGGGAAUAUUGCACAAUGGGCGGAAGCCUGAUGCAGCAACGCCGCGUGCGGGAUGACGGCCUUCGGGUUGUAAACCGCUUUCGCCUGUGACGAAGCGUGAGUGACGGUAAUGGGUAAAGAAGCACCGGCUAACUACGUG